UACGGAGGGGGCUAGCGUUGUUCGGAAUUACUGGGCGUAAAGCGCACGUAGGCGGCGUGUUUAGUCAGGGGUGAAAGGCCCGGGCUCAACCCGGGAACGGCCUUUGAUACUGGCACGCUUGAGUCCGAGAGGGGGUGGUGGAACUCCCAGUGUAGAGGUGAAAUUCGUAGAUAUUGGGAAGAACACCGGUGGCGAAGGCGACCACCUGGCUCGGUACUGACGCUGAGGUGCGAAAGCGUGGGGAGCAAACAGG
rnacentral:rRNA from 1 species